UAAACGCGUGAGGAACCUGCCUCAAAGAGGGGGACAACAGUUGGAAACGACUGCUAAUACCGCAUAAGCCCACAGCUCGGCAUCGAGCAGAGGGAAAAGGAGUGAUCCGCUUUGAGAUGGCCUCGCGUCCGAUUAGCUAGUUGGUGAGGUAAUGGCCCACCAAGGCGACGAUCGGUAGCCGGACUGAGAGGUUGAACGGCCACAUUGGGACUGAGACACGGCCCAG
rnacentral:rRNA from 1 species